GGGCGAAGGUCCCAGCGGAGAGGGUAAUAUACUGGAACGAUGCCUCUCUAACAUUUAAAAUCAAUACCUUCGCAGAUUAAACGUCUGCCGAAUCGUAGGAUGCCUGCAUAUGUUGUCAUUUUUGGUGCAUCUGGAACCCUCGGCCAAAUUUUU